CCUACGGGAGGCAGCAGUGGGGAAUAUUGCACAAUGGAGGAAACCCUGAUGCAGCGACGCCGCGUGAGUGAAGAAGUAAUUCGUUAUGUAAAGCUCUAUCAGCAGGGAAGAAAAUGACGGUACCUGAGUAAGAAGCCCCGGCUAACUACGUGCAAGCAGCCGCGGUAAUACGUAGGGGGCAAGCGUUAUCCGGAUUUACUGGGUGUAAAGGGAGCGUAGACGGCAGUGCAAGUCUGGAGUGAAAGGCGGGGGCUCAACCCCAGGACUGCUCUGGAAACUGUACGGCUGGAGUGCAGGAGAGGUAAGUGGAAUUCCUAGUGUAGCGGUGAAAUGCGGAGAUAUUAGGAGGAACACCAGUGGCGAACGCGGCUUACUGGACUGUAACUGACGUUGAGGCUCGAAAGCGUGGGGAUCGAACAGGAUUAGAUACCCUGGUAGUC
rnacentral:rRNA from 1 species